UGCAGUCUACUUGAGUCUUCGGGCUUGGGUGGCGGACGGGUGAGUAACGCGUAAAGAACUUGCCUCACAGACAGGGACAACAUUUGGAAACGGAUGCUAAUACCUGAUAUUAUGAACUGUGCGCAUGCAUAGAUUAUGAAAGCUAAAUGCACUGUGAGAGAGCUUUGCGUCCCAUUAGCUAGUUGGAGAGGUAACGGCUCACCAAGGCGAUGAUGGGUAGCCGGCCUGAGAGGGUGAACGGCCACAAGGGGACUGAGACACGGCCCUUACUCCUACGGGAGGCAGCAGUGGGGAAUAUUGGACAAUGGACCGAGAGUCUGAUCCAGCAAUUCUGUGUGCACGAUGAAGUUUUUCGGAAUGUAAAGUGCUUUCAGUUGGGAAGAAGAAAGUGACGGUACCAACAGAAGAAGCUACGGCUAAAUACGUGCCAGCAGCCGCGGUAAUACGUAUGUCGCAAGCGUUAUCCGGAUUUAUUGGGCGUAAAGCGCGUCUAGGCGGUUUAUUAAGUCUGAUGUGAAAAUGCGGGGCUCAACUCCGUAUUGCGUUGGA
rnacentral:rRNA from 1 species